AAAAUUAUAGUCAAUUUUUUGGGUUAAUAGAGUGAAAGUGUAUUAUAGUUGAAAGAGGGUCUUAGUGUCUCUUAUUGUAAAUUUGAGAUUUAUAUGGCUAUUUUUCCAAACUUUAAGAUUAUAGUUGUCUUUGUCUCUUGUUGUUAUUUUUAUUUUGUUUGAGAAAUCCUAUUUUUAUUUAAUCUAAUAGUAACCCAAUCUCUUUCCCACUCAUCUUUUUAAAAAACAAAAAGGGAAAAAAAUCAUCCUUUUAAUUAAAUGGCAUGUCACAUUAAGAGCAUUAAAAUGGAGAUAACAUGAGAUUAAAUUUUGGCAAGGUAGUCCUACAUUAAAAAAAAAAAAAAAUGUAUUUCCAAAAUAGUAAUUAGCUUAUGUUAUAUAUAUGUCAGUUUGAGUUGAUGAUACAUCAUCACUUGGAAGGUAAGUUAAACUUGUUAGUUUAUGGACAGCACUGUUUGUUAAGCUUCAUUUAGAACCAAUCCUGAUCCGAUUCGGAGAUGACUAUGGCUUCCGGGCCUGCUCAAUAACAAUCUGCUGAAUGCUAUCCAUCAAGUUGAAAGCUUGAGACCCACAUACACAAGCUUCCUUGGGUGUUGGUGUGCCCACUAAUUCCUGUGUUGUAAUUUUAGAUGGUGAGGUUGAGUGCGAUGAACCACUUCGAUUAGAUAAGAGGGUCUAAUUGUGUAUGUUGAUUUUGGUACCAACUGGGCAGUGCAAUGCUAUUGAAACUAUGCUUAAAAACUGGAUUCACAUAUUGCACAUAACUCCAUAAAUGCUUCAACUUCAUGGAGUGAACAAGUGACCCGCAAGAUUAGAUUAUUGGCUUGUUUACAUAAGAGAAGCUACAACAACCUCACUAUCUAUUACUAGAUGAAAAUACCACAUUCAUAUCCUUGGAAGAAGAAGCACAGGCACCUAGCUUUGAAGAGUUGUAAUAAAAGCACUUUUUAACUCGAGCUCAAGCACUUUCUUACAACAUUUACUUACAAGAAUCCGCUUUUAUAAAUCUUAUUUAAUACUUAUUUAGUAUGACUUAUU
rnacentral:lncRNA from 1 species